AGUUUCAUGACUUAUAUGAGAUAAUUUCUGCCCAGUGAUAAUUUUAACGGCCGCAGUACCUUGACUGUGCUAAGGUAGCAUAAUAAUUUGACUUUUAAUUGUAGUCUGGAAUGAAAGAAAAUUCGGAAAGCUACUGUUUCUUUUCUUUUUUUUUUAAUUUACUUAAAAGGUGAAAAUUCCUUUAAAUACAAGAAAGACGAGAAGACCCUUAGAAUUUUUUAUAAAAUAUUAAUAUUUUUUUUUGUUGGGGUGACAAGUUAACAAUUUAACUUAACUUAUUAUUUACAUAUGAUUUUGUUAAAAGAUUAAAUUACCUUAGGGAUAACAGCAUAAUCUUUUUAUUGGAUUGUGACCUCGAUGUUGGACUAGGAACUUUAUAGUUAGUAAUUAAUUUUGAUGGUUCUGUUCGAACUUUUUUUCCU
rnacentral:rRNA from 1 species